UCAGGCCUACACAUGCAAGUCGAGCGGAUGAGUGGAGCUUGCUCCAUGAUUCAGCGGCGGACGGGUGAGUAAUGCCUAGGAAUCUGCCUGGUAGUGGGGGAUAACGUUUCGAAAGGAACGCUAAUACCGCAUACGUCCUACGGGAGAAAGUGGGGGAUCUUCGGACCUCACGCUAUCAGAUGAGCCUAGGUCGGAUUAGCUAGUUGGUGGGGUAAUAGCCCACCAAGGCGACGAUCCGUAACUGGUCUGAGAGGAUGAUCAGUCACACUGGAACUGAGACACGGUCCAGACUCCUACGGGAGGCAGCAGUGGUGAAUAUUGGACAAUGGGCGAAAGCCUGAUCCAGCCAUGCCGCGUGUGUGAAGAAGGUCUUCGGAUUGUAAAGCACAUGAAGUUGGGAGGAAGGGCAGUAAGUUAAUACC
rnacentral:rRNA from 1 species